GAGUCAUAAAAAUCAUCAAUCCAUUCAAAAGCUAACUCAUCAAGGCCCUGCUUCUGCUUUAAAUUAGCAACUCUGGCAUCUCUAACAUCCACCACAUGAUGCAGCCCUGUAAUGGAAAGGCCCUUUUGAAGUUGCAACAAAUCCUUCAACUCUUUUAUCUUGAGGCCACCACAUGUCCCCACAAUAAAUUUUGGCAAGAAUUGGAGGUC
rnacentral:misc_RNA from 1 species